UUAAAUUGAAGAGUUUGAUCAUGGCUCAGAUUGAACGCUGGCGGCAGGCCUAACACAUGCAAGUCGAACGGUAACAGGAAUCAGCUUGCUGAUUCGCUGACGAGUGGCGGACGGGUGAGUAAUGUCUGGGAAACUGCC
rnacentral:rRNA from 2 species